rnacentral:rRNA from 1 species
AUGGAAUGGCCGGUUCCUAAGGAGAGCAAAAUCUGGUUGCAUGGGGUGUCCACGCUCCCUUCGAGACCAUAUCCACAUAAGGGCCUCAUUGUCAAACCAGUCGGUCUGAGGGCCUUGGUGGUUGAUGGAGAAGACAUAAAAGUGCCACGCCAGCCAAGUAGCAUCAUUGGAUGUCUUUGCAGGCAUUAUUACCCUGGCCUGGUCCUCAUAGGAGACGGUGAGGAGCCAGCUUGGUCUUGGGAGCAUUGGAAACGAGCUCCGGAUACCAAAGACAAGUGGGGCAGGGUGUAUGGUAGUGCCGCUGAGCGGGUGGUCAAUGAAUUUUGGGACUUCUUUACUUGCGCCGAGGGUAUGAAGGAUGAAGCUAAUGAGGUUGUGGAGGCGAUUGCCAAGAAGAUUGUCCAAGACAUGCCCUAUGAGGCGCGCGUUGAUGCUGUGGUGAAGUAUUUCGCGCACGAACGCAAAAUGCUUCUCAAAAAGUCUCUAGCCCGGAGAGUGCAUCUCACCCGUUCCAUGUACAUGAAGGUGGUUCCCUCGUGGUGCAACAACAAUGUUCCUUGCUACCAGCAAAUCAUAUCCAAAUGGAUAGACCCGGAGUGGAGGGCCCAACAUCGAAUGGCUUUGGAGCGGCGUGCCUUGAUGGGUGGUCCGGUACACCUUCAAGGCAACCUCAACCUCCACGCUUACGUGCAGAAGAAGAAUAGGGAGAGAGGUGAGGGCCAAGAGAAGCUCAAUACCUUCAGGGAUUAUGUCUCUCCCGCAAGUCAAAGAAAUUGGAAGGGGGGUGGGUCAACCCAGGCGCUGGCUUGA